rnacentral:rRNA from 1 species
UCCGUAGGCGGGCGUCUAAGUCAGUGGUGAAAUCUUACAGCUCAACUGUAAAAUUGCCAUUGAUACUGGAUGUCUUGAAUUAGUGUGAAGUGGUUAGAAUGUGUAGUGUAGCGGUGAAAUGCAUAGAUAUUACACAGAAUACCAAUUGCGAAGGCAGAUCACUAACACUAUAUUGACGCUGAGGAACGAAAGCGUGGGGAGCGAACAGGAUUAGAUACCCUGGUAGUCC